UGCUCAGUUGUUUUCCGCUCUGUGUUUCUCUCACACUCUCAAACGUUUUCCACCUGCAUCCUCCUUCGGUUGAACUUUCGUUUUCGUUUUGCUUUGUGCUCUCUCGCUGUCAAACGAUGUUCUCUUUUUGUGAGAAUCGUCAUCCCAAAACGUUGUUGUCUUUUUGUGAGAGGGUUGUAUAGAAAAAUUCCAAAUAUUUGUCUCUCUCUGAGUCUGGGAUUUGGGUCUAUUUGGAAGGCUUCUUGGCGUCUGUGAAGCUGAGGAGCAGCAGUUUGAGAUUGUUGACGGUACCAAAAACCGAGGGGCUUGCAGCUACAAUUUCACUUUCGGACAGCGCAUUGAAGUGCUUCAAUAAGAUGAGAUCUGAACACGAAAGAAUCAAGGUCGGCCUUGACAUUGCAUAU